AUUUGGAAGGGUUCGCGGAUGGCCAAGGUUGGAUUUGGGUUAGAGAAUGGCCAUGGUUGGGAUUGGGUUUGGAGAUGGCCAAGGUUGUGUUUGGGUUAGAGGAUGGUCAUGGCUGGGUAUGGGUUAGGAGAGGGCCUUGGUUGGGUUUGGAAGGGUUUGGGGAUGGGCAAGGUUGGAUUUGGGUUAGAGAAUGGCCAUGGUUGGGAUUGGGUUUGGAGAUGGCCAAAGUUGGGUUUGUAGGGGCUUAGAGAUGGUCAUGGUUGGGCUUGGAAGGGUUGUGGGAUGGCCAAGGUUGGAUUUGGGUUUGGGGAUGACCACGGUUGGGUUUGGAAGGGUUUGGGGAUGGCCACGAUCAGGCUUAGGAUUCUUGCGGACAGCCACAAUCAGUUUUAGGCGUUCCUGGA